rnacentral:rRNA from 1 species
UACGUAGGCAGCGAGCGUUGUUCGGAGUUACUGGGCGUAAAGGGUGCGUAGGCGGUUGUUUUAAGUUUGGUGUGAAAUCUCCCGCUCAACUGGGAGGGUGCGCCGAAUACUGAAUGACUAGAGUGCGGGAGAGGAUAGUGGAAUUCCUGGUGUAGCGGUGAAAUGCGUAGAUAAUCAGGAGGAACACCGGUGGUGUAGACGGCUAUCUGGACCGUAACUGACGCUAGGCACGAAAGCGUGGGGGAGCAAACAGG